UUAUUUUGUGAAUUAUGAAUGUUAUGUAAUAUUCCCAGGCUAUGUUUUGUGAAAUCAUAAAAAUGAGCCUUGAACAAUCUGAGGCAUGAAAUUUUGUGUCUCUGUUGCUCUCUGGUGUCUUUUUUUGGUCCAACUCAACACGAGCCAUAGUGUCUUAUUAGUACUGUCAUUUCCACAUACAGUGUAAUUUGUAAAUACCUAUGUAAAGAGCAUUUUUUUUUUCAUAAGGGAGAGAAUAAGUCUAAAACACUUCUUUUUUUUUUUUUUUUUUAAAUAAUAGAAUGAGGUGAGAGUUCAUAGUCUUAGUGUUUCCUCCCUUUAAGGGAAAGUAAUAUUGCUCCAGGAGUAUAAACUCCCUUUGUACUCUACCCCCAACCUCCACCUAGGAUAUUUUCUAUACUUUGUUAGCAUGAAGGGAGUAUUUUCAGCAGUUUCUUUGAUCAAAUUGGGAAUAUUCUGGGUAGUCUUCAAAAUUCCGUGUGAAUUCUCAACUCAGCACCCAGCUCAAGUGUUUCCUUUUCCAGUGAUGUGAUCCCGAACCUGACUCCACUAGAAAGUACACUCAGUUCAAAUGAUAACUUUUCUGAAUGUCCUCAAUUUUGUCUGAUUUAGCCCACAUUAAAGUACUCCUUUUUAUUAAGUCUUAUCUGCCUUAGAAGAAGGUCUUUCCUUUGUCUCUUAUGCUUUUCUCUAGUUAUUUGAUUUGUAUGUGUUUUGGCUUUUGAACUGCUAUGUAAAGUCUGUGGGAGUAAGACCCAUGUCUUAUAAAUCCUUUGCAACCCUGUGGUGCUGGAAACAGAGUAGCCACUUAGGAAAAAAAUUGUUACUGAUUGGAUGAAUGACAUCCAGUGAGCAGUGGUGUUUACUUUCUCAUGCCUUUGAUUUCCUUUGUGGGAAGGCUCAGUGCCUUCAUAUGGAAGCAGCUUAAAGAAUAUUAAUCAAAUAUAUGAAUGUGAUAAUGAGAUGUGGUCUUUUUGGGUUUGUUUUGAAUUAGGUGAGAUGAUAUUUUUAAAAAAGUCAUAGAAAUGGUAUAAUACCUGUUUGAAAUGGAGGUUUACAAAUGGAAAUGUCAAAUAUGGUGGGAGCCAGCUAUACAGGACACUGAAAACUAGGCAAAAAGAUGAUAUGAUAAUGAGUUUCUCCUUACAGGGACAAGACCAUACGCUUAGACCCGUUCUAUAUGGGAAAUGGAAGCUCUGAUUGAGAAUCUGGGCAUCUUAGUCCAGUGCCUGUGGCCUGACCAUGUUUUUUAAUUGGUUUUCAUAGCCUGACCCCUGUGGCUAAGAAAGAACCUUUUCCUAAAUACUGUUAGACAAAGUGAUGGGGAGAAAAACCAACCAAAAACACCCAAAGCUGCUGACUCAGCAGCAGUUCCAGCUACAGGAGUGCUGCAGCAGUAGGUCAUUUGUAACAGAGAACAGCUGCCUUUGGAAUAUUGGUGCCAGAAAUUCUUCUGCUUGAGCUUUUGUAGUAUGUUUCUUGCCAGAAGAGCUGUGUUGCUCACGGGGUGCACACAUUUCUGUAAGACUAUUUUGGCUUCACAUUCUGUUAAUAUGAGAAGUUAUUUUUUGACUCCAAAAAUGGCCUGAUGGAGUCUCUGUUGCCCAAGCUGGAGUGCAGUGUCAUGAUCUCUGCUCACUGCAAUGUCUGCCUCCUGGGUUCAAGUGAUUCUUCUGCCUCAGCCUCCUGAGUAACUGGGAUUGGGACUACAGCUUGCAGACGGCCUAUUGUGGGAACUCACCUUUUGAUCAUCAUCAUAAAGGCAGGCUCCAGAACCCAAAGGAAGGCUUGGCACAUAGGAGAUGCUAAACACAUCUUUUUCAAAUGAAUGCAGUGACUUGACUUUAGGCACUAUGUUAGGACCUCAGGACUCAGGGAUAGAUAAAGUCAGUUUUUGGAAGAUGACAGUUUGGUGGUGGAGAUUUCUACAGGAAGAAAUCAUCAGCAUUAUAUGGAGAGUGCUCUCAUGGAGGCGCUGGAGCAGAAUAGGGGAGUCAAGAAGAAAAGCAAUUAACGAAUAAAGGAAAAAGUACCAACAGUGAAGGGAAAAAAAUUCUUCUGAAGGCUAAAGAAGAGAGAAUAAUUGAUGGUUCCAUUUUAGCUUAAUGUUAUUUCUGGAUCUCUUUUAUAAUGUGUUAUUUACUGCAUAGUUUAUACUUGACAGAAAAUAAACAGCAUUUGCAAUAUAAUGUCUUUUGCUCUGCAUGCACUUGCUCAUCCCGCUUGCUUGUCAAGUUAGAACUUCAACCAACAUCCGUCAAAGUCUCCUGUGAUAGAGUCUGUUUUUAAUAAGCCCGGCACUAUAAUUACCUUAUUGCAAAGUUAAGGCCAAAUGACACUUAUGAUGAAGGUUUCAUGGCUAAACAGUAAAGUCAGUGAAGCAUAUGCAUACCAACUGUCAGGCAGGAAAUAGCUGUUCGAGGAUUUGUUUCUUUAUUGCCUGACGAGGGUCACUUCAUUUGUACUUGGAAACUUUGUCACAGCUACAACAGGUAUCAGAGAAGGAAAAAGAAUAAAUAACAAAGAAUAAAUAACUUAGGAAGAUAC